AGCCGCAGAUGAUUGGGUAUGAGCACUGCGUUGACAUCGCAGGGGUCACUGGUUCGAUCCCAGUCGCGCCCACCA
rnacentral:tRNA from 1 species